rnacentral:rRNA from 1 species
GAUGAACGCUGGCGGCGUGCCUAAUACAUGCCAGUCGAGCGAACAGACGAGGAGCUUGCUCCUCUGACGUUAGCGGCGGACGGGUGAGUAACACGUGGAUAACCUACCUAUAAGACUGGGAUAACUUCGGGAAACCGGAGCUAAUACCGGAUAAUAUAUUGAACCGCAUGGUUCAAUAGUGAAAGACGGUUUUGCUGUCACUUAUAGAUGGAUCCGCGCCGCAUUAGCUAGUUGGUAAGGUAACGGCUUACCAAGGCAACGAUGCGUAGCCGACCUGAGAGGGUGAUCGGCCACACUGGAACUGAGACACGGUCCAGACUCCUACGGGAGGCAGCAGUAGGGAAUCUUCCGCAAUGGGCGAAAGCCUGACGGAGCAACGCCGCGUGAGUGAUGAAGGUCUUCGGAUCGUAAAACUCUGUUAUUAAGGAAGAACAAAUGUGUAAGUAACUAUGCACGUCUUGACGGUACCUAAUCAGAAAGCCACGGCUAACUACGUG